UAGGGAAUCUUCCGCAAUGGGCGAAAGCCUGACGGAGCAACGCCGCGGGAGUGAUGAAGGUCUUCGGAUCGUAAAACUCUGUUAUUAGGGAAGAACAAAUGUGUAAGUAACUAUGCACGUCUUGACGGUACCUAAUCAGAAAGCCACGGCUAACUACGUGCCAGCAGCCGCGGUAAUAUGUAGGUGGCAAGCGUUAUCCGGAAUUAUUGGGCGUAAAGCGCGCGUAGGCGGGUUUUUAAGUCUGAUGUGAAAGCCCACGGCUCAACCGUGGAAGGUCAUUCGAAACUGGAAAAAUUGAGUGCAGAAGAGGAAAGUGGAAUUCCAUGUGUAGCGGUGAAAUGCGCAGAGAUAUGGAGGAACACCAGUGGCGAAGGCGACUUUCUGGUCUGUAACUGACGCAGAUGUGCGAAAGCGUGGGGAUCAAACAGG
rnacentral:rRNA from 1 species